AAGUCGUAACAAGGUCUCCGUUGGUGAACCAGCGGAGGGAUCAUUAAAGGAUUUAGAAAGGUCGCCCUGUGUGGCCUCUCCCUAAACCCUGCGAACUUACCGUUAUUAUUGUUGCUUCGGCAGGCGGCUCCCCCGGGGGGGCUUUAGCCUCUUGGUGCCUGCCGGCAGCGCACUUAAAAAAACUCUUUUUUACUGCCGUUAGGCAUGUCUGAGAAUUUCUACGCCUUUUAUAGGCGGUAAAAUGAAUAAAAACUUUCAACAACGGAUCUCUUGGUUCUG
rnacentral:misc_RNA from 1 species